AUUCCAGCUCCAAUAGCGUAUAUUAAAGUUGUUGCGGUAAAAAAGCUCGUAGUUGGAUUUCUGUCGAGAACAGCCGGUCACGAUUUUGUCGUCGUAUCUGGUUUGGUCUUGGCAUCCUCUUGGGGAACAUUUCUGCGCUUCACUGCGUGGAGUGGUAUUCAAGACUUUUACUUUGAGGAAAUUAGAGUGUUCACGGCAGGCAAUCGCCCUGAAUAUAUUAGCAUGGAAUAAUGAUAUAGGACCUUGGUUCUAUUUUGUUGGUUUCUAGAACUAAGGUAAUGAUUAAUAGGGACAAUUGGGGGCAUUCGUAUUAACGCGUCAGAGGUGGGAUUCUUAGAUUUAUGAAAGACUAACUACUGCGAAAGCAUUUGCCAAGGAUGUUUUCAUCG
rnacentral:rRNA from 1 species